rnacentral:rRNA from 1 species
CCGGUAAACGGCGGCCGUAACUAUAACGGUCCUAAGGUAGCGAAAUUCCUUGUCGGGUAAGUUCCGACCUGCACGAAUGGCGUAAUGAUGGCCAGGCUGUCUCCACCCGAGACUCAGUGAAAUUGAACUCGCUGUGAAGAUGCAGUGUACCCGCGGCAAGACGGAAAGACCCCGUGAACCUUUACUAUAGCUUGACACUGAACAUUGAGCCUUGAUGUGUAGGAUAGGUGGGAGGCUUUGAAGUGUGGACGCCAGUCUGCAUGGAGCCGACCUUGAAAUACCACCCUUUAAUGUUUGAUGUUCUAACGUUGGCCCGUUAUCCGGGUUGCGGACAGUGUCUGGUGGGUAGUUUGACUGGGGCGGUCUCCUCCUAAAGAGUAACGGAGGAGCACGAAGGUUGGCUAAUCCUGGUCGGACAUCAGGAGGUUAGUGCAAUGGCAUAAGCCAGCUUGACUGCGAGCGUGACGGCGCGAGCAGGUGCGAAAGCAGGUCAUAGUGAUCCGGUGGUUCUGAAUGGAAGGGCCAUCGCUCAACGGAUAAAAGGUACUCCGGGGAUAACAGGCUGAUACCGCCCAAGAGUUCAUAUCGACGGCGGUGUUUGGCACCUCGAUGUCGGCUCAUCACAUCCUGGGGCUGAAGUAGGUCCCAAGGGUAUGGCUGUUCGCCAUUUAAAGUGGUACGCGAGCUGGGUUUAGAACGUCGUGAGACAGUUCGGUCCCUAUCUGCCGUGGGCGCUGGAGAACUGAGGGGGGCUGCUCCUAGUACGAGAGGACCGGAGUGGACGCAUCACUGGUGUUCGGGUUGUCAUGCCAAUGGCACUGCCCGGUAGCUAAAUGCGGAAGAGAUAAGUGCUGAAAGCAUCUAAGCACGAAACUUGCCCCGAGAUGAGUUCUCCCUGACUCCCUGAGAGUCCUGAAGGAACGUUGAAGACGACGACGUUGAUAGGCCGGGUGUGUAAGCGCAGCGAUGCGUUGAGCUAACCGGUACUAAUGAACCGUGAGGCUUAACCUUACAACGCCGAAGCUGUU